AGCACCUUUAAAUCAGUCCCGUGAGGCUGGCAAGGUAACGUGAAUGGAUCACUGAUCAGUGCAUCCGCUGCGGCGGUAUGUCUUCAGUGUGUCCGACAGAUCGGAGAACAGUGGGAGACUGUUCAUACGAGACUCCUUGCCAAACUUGGGCAAGGAGUCUUUUUUGU
rfam:Paenibacillus polymyxa SC2, complete genome.